AUACGGAGGGUGCAAGCGUUAUCCGGAUUUAUUGGGUUUAAAGGGUGCGCAGGCGGAUAAUUAAGUCAGUGGUGAAAUCCUCCCGCUCAACGGGAGAACUGCCAUUGAUACUGAUAAUCUGGAAUACGGUUGAAGUGGCGGAAUGUAGCAUGUAGCGGUGAAAUGCAUAGAGAUGCUACAGAACACCGAUCGCGAAGGCAGCUCACUAAGCCGAUAUUGACGCUCAGGCACGAAAGCGUGGGUAGCGAACAGGAUUAGAAACCCGGGUAGUCC
rnacentral:rRNA from 1 species